rnacentral:rRNA from 1 species
UUACCUGGUCUUGACAUCCCGGAGACCCUUAGGAAACUAGGGGGUGCUUCCAGUCUGGAAGAAUCUGGAGACAGGUGCUGCAUGGCUGUCGUCAGCUCGUGUCGUGAGAUGUUGGGUUAAGUCCCGCAACGAGCGCAACCCUUGCCUUUAGUUGCCAGCAGUUCGGCUGGGCACUCUAAAGGGACUGCCGGUGUUAAACCGGAGGAAGGUGGGGAUGACGUCAAGUCCUCAUGGCCUUUAUGACCAGGGCUACACACGUACUACAAUGGCCGAUACAAAGGGCAGCGACACUGCGAGGUGAAGCCAAUCCCGUAAAAUCGGUCUCAGUCCGGAUUGGAGUCUGCAACUCGACUCCAUGAAGUUGGAAUCGCUAGUAAUCGUGGAUCAGCAUGCCACGGUGAAUACGUUCCCGGGCCUU